rnacentral:rRNA from 1 species
AACGAACGCUGGCGGCAUGCCUAACACAUGCAAGUCGAACGAGACCUUCGGGUCUAGUGGCGCACGGGUGCGUAACGCGUGGGAACCUGCCUUUAGGUUCGGAAUAACAGUGAGAAAUUACUGCUAAUACCGGAUGAUGUCUUCGGACCAAAGAUUUAUCGCCUUUAGAUGGGCCCGCGUUGGAUUAGCUAGUUGGUGGGGUAAAGGCCUACCAAGGCGACGAUCCAUAGCUGGUCUGAGAGGAUGAUCAGCCACACUGGGACUGAGACACGGCCCAGACUCCUACGGGAGGCAGCAGUGGGGAAUCUUAGACAAUGGGGGAAACCCUGAUCUAGCCAUGCCGCGUGAUCGAUGAAGGCCUUAGGGUUGUAAAGAUCUUUCAGUGGGGAAGAUAAUGACUGUACCCACAGAAGAAGCCCCGGCUAACUCCGUG